AGUGAACGCUGGCGGUAGGCCUAACACAUGCAAGUCGAACGGCAGCACAGUAAGAGCUUGCUCUUACGGGUGGCGAGUGGCGGACGGGUGAGGAAUACAUCGGAAUCUACUUUUUCGUGGGGGAUAACGUAGGGAAACUUACGCUAAUACCGCAUACGACCUACGGGUGAAAGCAGGGGAUCUUCGGACCUUGCGCGAUUGAAUGAGCCGAUGUCGGAUUAGCUAGUUGGCGGGGUAAAGGCCCACCAAGGCGACGAUCCGUAGCUGGUCUGAGAGGAUGAUCAGCCACACUGGAACUGAGACACGGGCCAGACUCCUACGGGAGGCAGCAGUGGGGAAUAUUGGACAAUGGGGGCAAGCCUGAUCCAGCCAGACCGCGUGGGUGAAGAAGGCCUUCGGGUUGUAAAGCCCUUUUGUUGGGAAAGAAAAGCAGCAGGUUAAUACCCCGCUGUUCUGACGGUACCCAAAGAAUAAGCACCGGCUAACUUCGU
rnacentral:rRNA from 1 species